rnacentral:rRNA from 1 species
UACCAGCCCCCCGAGUGGUCGGGACGAUUAUUGGGCCUAAAGCAUCCGUAGCCGGUUCUGCAAGUCCCCCGUUAAAUCCAGCUGCUCAACAGAUGGGCCGCGGAGGAUACUCCAGAGCUAGGAGGCAGGAGAGGCAAGCGGUACUCAGUGGGUAGGGGUAAAAUCCGUUGAUCCAUUGAAGACCACCAGUGGCGAAGGCGGCUUGCCAGAAUGCGCUCGACGGUGAGGGAUGAAAGCUGGGGGAGCAAACCGG